UCAAUAAAUAAAUUAUCGGGGGGGGGGGGGGGGGGGGAAGGAAAGUCAGAAGGUAGAAAAGUGGAUGUUGUCUAUUGUCUGUUUUUCUUGAGACUUUAAAAUGUGUUUUGUUUUUUUUUUUCCCCUAAAUUUAUAUGCUCGUUAAUAUCUGAAUAUUGUCUUGCAGUGUUCCAGACUGAUUGAAAUGUUUGAAAAUUUAAUCAUUGGCUCUCUUCCACCCUGUAUAGGACAUAAUGCUUGCUUCAAUCUGUUUUGAGCAACAGGUCAACUAAAAUGGUUUUCUACUGUGGAGAUGGAAAAAGAGAGGGAGGUAAACAAAUUUGAACUGAAUGCAGAUUGAAAACUUCAUUGCAUAAGCCACAGAUGUACAAGGAGCAUCAACAUAUUCUUAUGCCAACAAUGUGGAGCAUUAGACCUAUAUAUAAUUUAAAUGUAGUGAAUCUCUGAUUUUCUUGUGUGCCUCAGGAUUCUACUGCAAUAUGAGUAAUAAAGCAAGAUUAGGUAGACUACCUUCACCUUUACUAAAUGGAUAUGGUAUGAAGAGGGCCUGUGAUACAAGAAGUAAUCCAGUUCCACUCUGGGGGGAAAAAAAACACAAACAAGUAGAAGGAAGCAAUUUGGCAUAUAAAUGCUUGGCACAUAAACCCAGGAGACACUGCUAACUCGAUUUAAUACAGCACAGUAUUUCUGGCUGUAAGAAGCACUAACUGGUCAUAUCAGCAGAUCUGUGGGGGAAGAGAGAGAGAGAGACUGGAGCUCAAGUUCAGCUGUGUUUGACUUCAUUUGGUUUUGCUCUGACCAGGAAGACUGACAGACUACAGGGAGAUGUGUAACUCCCUCUAGAGUGUUUCAUUUACAGCCCUGUCCUUUGCAAGGGGGGGACCAAAGUGCAAAUAACUCUGAGAGCAUAAGUGCAUGUAUAGAGCAUGCCACAAUGCUGUAUGAAAACAUAGAUAUGUCCCAAAAGCAUGACUGUGUACUCAGCGAUGGAAGGAGAUGAAGCAGAGAGGAGUCACUCUCUCCAGAGUAUUCCAGAGCUAUCAUGGCUCAUGCUGGGCAAAGCAUUUCUGUACCUCACUAAGCUUUCAAAUGAUAGGUUAUAAAUGGAGGCAGUUUCGAAAGGAAGAGUAACACUGGGAUGACAGAGGUUUGCAAAGUUGUUAAUAUUGCACUCCUCUACAAACUUAAGGUGGGUUGUAUAUAUAACUGAACAAAACUUGGUAGAUCCUCUGCAGCUAAUGAGAAGACUUCUUCAGACUCUUUCUUAUCUCCAGGGUCUGGGAAGCCUAAUCAGCAGUUCCUGCAGUAAAAACUGAAUCAGAAAAGGCAAACUCCUCCUUCUCAGUGUUCUCCGUUACCACCUAACUCAGCAGCAGGCGCACGUUUUCCCUAAUUUUCUUUCUUUUGCUAUACAUCAUUAUGUUAAAUUUACUUUCCCAAAGUAUUUAAGUAGAUUUAGUCACUCAUGAUACAUGGUUGUUGUAUAUGGAUCCAUUAUGUGAGACAUGAAAAACCUUUAACUGAACAAUAGCCUAUGACGUGAAUAUUUAUAUACAUGUAUAUUUGAUGGUUAAGUUCAGGCAUAGUAGUCUGUAUGGGAAACUGUUGAUCACAGCCUGAACCUCUGAUUAACCAUCUGAGGCAAGCGACAGCUGCGGGAGC
rnacentral:lncRNA from 1 species